GACGAACGCUGGCGGCGUGCUUAACACAUGCAAGUCGAACGGAAAGGCCUGUCCUUCCUUGUGUUGGACGGGUACUCGAGUGGCGAACGGGUGAGUAACACGUGAGUGAUCUGCCCCCAACUUGGGUAUAAGCCUGGGAAACUGGGUCUAAUUCCCGAUAGGACUGCAGGGUGGUGCCUGCGGUGGAAAACGAUUUUCUAGUGGUUGGGGAUGAGCCCGCGGCCUAUCAGCUUGUUGGUGGGGUAAUGGCCUACCAAGGCGGCGACGGGUAGCCGGCCUGGGAGGGUGGACGGGCACAUUGGGACUGAGAUACAGCCCAGACUGCUACGGGAGGCAGCAGGGGGGAAUAGUGAGCAAUGGGCGGAAGCCUGAUGCAGCGACGCCGCGUGGGGGGUGACGGCCUUCGGGUUGUAAACUCCUUUCGACCGCGAGGAAGCCGCCUGGUUGGAAGGGUGGUGACGGUAGUGGUAGAAGAAGCACCGGCUAACUACGUG
rnacentral:rRNA from 1 species